GGGGAGAGUGCAAACUAUGUUUCCAGUGCAUACCGGGUGUGUGUGUACCGUGGUUCACCAGUGUGUGUGUGUGUGUGUGUGUGUGUGUGUGUGUGUGUGUGUGUGUGUGAGGU